rnacentral:tRNA from 1 species
AGGGGUAUAGCUCAAUUUGGCAGAGCAUCGGUCUCCAAAACCGAAGGUUUGAGGUUCGAGUCCUCAUGCCCCUG